UACGUAGGGUGCGAGCGUUGUCCGGAAUUAUUGGGCGUAAAGAGCUUGUAGGCGGUUUGUCGCGUCUGCUGUGAAAAUCCGGGGCUCAACCUCGGGCCUGCAGUGGGUACGGGCAGACUAGAGUGCGGUAGGGGAGAUUGGAAUUCCUGGUGUAGCGGUGAAAUGCGCAGAUAUCAGGAGGAACACCGGUGGCGAAGGCGGGUCUCUGGGCCGGAACUGACGCUGAGGAGCGAAAGCGUGGGGAGCAAACAGG
rnacentral:rRNA from 1 species